AGUGAACGCUGGCGGUAGGCCUAACACAUGCAAGUCGAACGGCAGCACAGUAAGAGCUUGCUCUUACGGGUGGCGAGUGGCGGACGGGUGAGGAAUACAUCGGAAUCUACUUUUUCGUGGGGGAUAACGUAGGGAAACUUACGCUAAUACCGCAUACGACCUACGGGUGAAAGCAGGGGAUCUUCGUACCUUGCGCGAUUGAAUGAGCCGAUGUCGGAUUAGCUAGUUGGCGGGGUAAAGGCCCACCAAGGCGACGAUCCGUAGCUGGUCUGAGAGGAUGAUCAGCCACACUGGAACUGAGACACGGUCCAGACUCCUACGGGAGGCAGCAGUGGGGAAUAUUGGACAAUGGGCGCAAGCCUGAUCCAGCCAUACCGCGUGGGUGAAGAAGGCCUUCGGGUCGUAAAGCCCUUUUGUUGGGAAAGAAAAGCAGCAGGUUAAUACCCCGCUGUUCUGACGGUACCCAAAGAAUAAGCACCGGCUAACUUCGUG
rnacentral:rRNA from 1 species